UUCCCGAGGAAGGGCCUUCGCUCAAAACGUCGAAGUUCUCCUUCUAUUUUUCAGAUAGUUGUAUCUUAUCAUUCUGAAGUUUAAUACAGCACAUAUAACAGACUUUCGCUACCGUCACCAUUAACUUGCAAGAGGUAGCGGGUGGAAGUCAAAUCUGAACCUCUCUAUUAACGAAUCAAGUGCUUUUAAUCAUAGUUUUAACGAAUCACCACAUACCUAGUGUAUACACAGAAACUACUGUAUGUCGAUGUUUGUCAGUCGUCUUUCCAAACGAGACUUGUUAAUGUAAUCAAAUUGGAAGGAAACUGAUCGGCAAGAAUAAUUCCCUUAUCACGAUUACAGUCAAGUUCAUCAAUAAAACCAAACCAAUAAAUUACCAUACCAGGACCGAAUCUA